rnacentral:rRNA from 1 species
AAAUGAAUAGACGGGGGCCCGCACAAGCGGUGGAGCAUGUGGUUUAAUUCGAUGCAACGCGAAGAACCUUACCGGGGUUUGACAUGGGAGCCUCGCCGCAAGGCGAGGUCAGCCCUAUGAAAGUAGGGUGUGUCCACACAGGUGCUGCAUGGCUGUCGUCAGCUCGUGUCGUGAGAUGUUGGGUUAAGUCCCGCAACGAGCGCAACCCUCGCCGAUAGUUACCAACGGGUCAUGCCGGGGACUCUAUCGGGACUGCCGGUGAUAAACCGGAGGAAGGUGGGGAUGAUGUCAAGUCAUCAUGGCCCUUACAUCCCGGGCUACACACGUGCUACAAUGGUCGGUACAGCGGGUUGCAAUACCGCGAGGUGGAGCAAAUCCUCAAAGCCGGCCUCAGUACGGAUUGGAGUCUGCAACUCGACUCCAUGAAGCCGGAAUCGCUAGUAAUCGCGGAUCAGAAUGCCGCGGUGAAUACGUUCCCGGGCCUUGUACACACCGCCCGU